rnacentral:rRNA from 1 species
AACGAACGCUGGCGGCAUGCCUAACACAUGCAAGUCGAACGAGACUUCGGUCUAGUGGCGGACGGGUGAGUAACGCGUAGGAACCUGCCAAGCAGUGGGGAAUAACAGCUGGAAACGGCUGCUAAUACCGCAUACGCCCUUUGGGGAAAGAUUUAUCGCUGUUUGAGGGUCCUGCGUUCGAUUAGCUAGUUGGUGAGGUAACGGCCCACCAAGGCGACGAUCGAUAGCUGGUCUGAGAGGAUGAUCAGCCACACUGGGACUGAGACACGGCCCAGACUCCUACGGGAGGCAGCAGUGGGGAAUAUUGGACAAUGGGGGAAACCCUGAUCCAGCAAUGCCGCGUGCGUGAAGAAGGCCUUAGGGUUGUAAAGCGCUUUCACCUGUGAUGAUGAUGACAGUAGCAGGAGAAGAAGCCCCGGCUAACUCCGUG